AUUGAACGCUGGCGGCAGGCUUAACACAUGCAAGUCGAGCGGAGAUGAGGUGCUUGCACCUUAUCUUAGCGGCGGACGGGUGAGUAAUGCUUAGGAAUCUGCCUAUUAGUGGGGGACAACAUUCCGAAAGGAAUGCUAAUACCGCAUACGUCCUACGGGAGACAGCAGGGGAUCUUCGGCCCUUGCGCUAAUAGAUGAGCCUAAGUCGGAUUAGCUAGUUGGUGGGGUAAAGGCCUACCAAGGCGACGAUCUGUAGCGGGUCUGAGAGGAUGAUCCGCCACACUGGGACUGAGACACGGCCCAGACUCCUACGGGAGGCAGCAGUGGGGAAUAUUGGACAAUGGGGGGAACCCUGAUCCGGCCAUGCCGCGUGUGUGAAGAAGGCCUUAUGGUUGUAAAGCACUUUAAGCGAGGAGGAGGCUACUGAGACUAAUACUCUUGGAUAGUGGACGUUACUCGCAGAAUAAGCACUGGCUAACUCUGUGCCAGCCGCCGCGGUAACAC
rnacentral:rRNA from 1 species